CCUACGGGUGGCAGCAGUGAGGAAUAUUGGUCAAUGGUCGGGAGACUGAACCAGCCACGCCGCGUGAGGGAUGAAGGUACAGAGUAUCGUAAACCUCUUUUGUCAGGGAACAAAGGCGGGGACGUGUCCCCGGAUGAGUGUACCUGAAGAAAAAGCAUCGGCUAACUCCGUGCCAGCAGCCGCGGUAAUCGGGAGGAUGCGAGCGUUAUCCGGAUUUAGUGGGUUUAAAGGGUGCGCGGGCGGUCUGUUAAGUCAGUGUGAACAGCCCGGGGCUCAACCCCGGCCCGCCGUUGAAACUGGCAGUCUCGAGUGGGAGAGAAGUAUGCGGAAUGCGCGGUGUAGCGGUGAAAUGCAUAGAUAUCGCGCAGAACUCCGAUUGCGAAGGCAGCAUGCCGGCUCCACACUGACGCUGAGGCACGAAAGCGUGGGUAUCGAACAGGAUUAGAUACCCGAGUAGUC
rnacentral:rRNA from 1 species